rnacentral:rRNA from 1 species
UACGGGGGGAGCAAGCGUUGUUCGGAUUUACUGGGCGUAAAGGGCGCGUAGGCGGCCAGCACAAGUCAGUUGUGAAAUCUCCGAGCUUAACUCGGAAAGGUCAACUGAUACUGUGCGGCUAGAGUGCGGAAGGGGCAACUGGAAUUCUUGGUGUAGCGGUGAAAUGCGUAGAUAUCAAGAGGAACACCUGCGGCGAAGGCGGGUUGCUGGGCUGACACUGACGCUGAAGCGCGAAAGCUAGGGGAGCGAACGGG